rnacentral:rRNA from 1 species
ACUCCUACGGGAGGCAGCAGUGGGGAAUUUUGGACAAUGGGGGCGAACCCUGAUCCAGCAAUGCCGCGUGAGUGAAGAAGGCCCUCGGGUUGUAAAGCUCUUUUGUCAGGGAAGAAACGGUGAUCUCUAAUAUAGAUUGCUAAUGACGGUACCUGAAGAAUAAGCACCGGCUAACUACGUGCCAGCAGCCGCGGUAAUACGUAGGGGUGCAAGCGUUAAUCGGAAUUACUGGGCGUAAAGCGUGCGCAGGCGGUUUUGUAAGUCUGAUGUGAAAUCCCCGGGGCUCAACCUGGGAACUGCAUUGGAGACUGCAAGGCUAGAGUGUGUCAGAGGGGGGUAGAAUUCCACGUGUAGCAGUGAAAUGCGUAGAGAUGUGGAGGAAUACCGAUGGCGAAGGCAGCCCCCUGGGAUAACACUGACGCUCAUGCACGAAAGCGUGGGGAGCAAACAGGAUUAGAUACCCUGGUAGCGACUGA